GUGCACGGCCACAGCGGAGGGGUCUACCUGGUCCCAUUCCGAACCCAGAAGUCAAGCCCUCCUGCGUCUUUACCUGUACUGUGGUACGAGAGUCCACGGGAAAGUGAGUCGCUGUGCCUC
rnacentral:rRNA from 1 species